rnacentral:rRNA from 1 species
UGUGCCAGCAGUUGCGGUUAUACAGAUAAUGCAAUUAAUUUUGUUUAGUUAAUAAUUAAUGGGUUUAAAAGGCUAUAAUUUGAAUUUAUUAAGUAAAAUUUUAAAUUUAAUAAAGGCUUUUAUAGGUUACAUGAUUUUUAUUAAAUUUUUAUAUAAACUAGGAUUAGAUACCCUAUUAUUUAAAAUGUAAAUUAUAGUUACUUAAUAAUUAGUAGUUAUGGUCUUGAAAAUUAAAAAAUUUGGCGGUAUUUUAGUCUAUUCAGAGGAACCUGUUCUGUAAUUGAUAUUCCACGAUUUAUUUUACUUUAUAUAUGUUUGUAUAUCGUCGUAGUCUGAAUAUUUUAUAAGAAUUUAAAUAUUCAAUUUUUAAAAUUAAAAUAGAAAUCAGAUCAAGGUGCAGCUUUUUAAAGAAUUAAUGGGUUACAAUAAAUUUAUUUAUAUGGUUUGGUAAAUUAAAUUUUGCCUUUAAAGUGGAUUUGAAAGUAAUAAUGUUUAAUUAGAUAUUAUGAUUAAGCUCUAAAAUAUGCACAUAUCGCCCGUCGCUCUCAUUUAAGGUGGGAUAAGUCGUAACAAAGUAGAUGUACUGGAAAGUGUAUCUAGA